GGGAGGAAAAGAAACCAACAGGGAUUACCUCAGUAACGGCGAGUGAAGCGGUAACAGCUCAAAUUUGAAAUCUGGCCUCACGGUCCGAGUUGUAAUUUGUAGAGGAUGCUUCGAGCAUGGUCUGGCCUAAGUUCCUUGGAACAGGACGUCAUAGAGGGUGAGAAUCCCGUAUGCGGCCAGGUGCCUACGCUCAUGUGAAGCUCCUUCGACGAGUCGAGUUGUUUGGGAAUGCAGCUCAAAAUGGGUGGUAAAUUUCAUCUAAAGCUAAAUAUUGGCCAGAGACCGAUAGCGCACAAGUAGAGUGAUCGAAAGAUGAAAAGCACUUUGGAAAGAGAGUUAAACAGUACGUGAAAUUGUUGAAAGGGAAGCGCUUGCAACCAGACUUGCGCGCGGCCGAUCAUCCGGUGUUCUCACCGGUGCACUCGGCCGUGCUCAGGCCAGCAUCGGUUUUGGCGGCUGGAUAAAGGCCCUAGGAAUGUAGCUCCUCUCGGGGAGUGUUAUAGCCUAGGGUGCAAUGCAGCCUGCUGGGACCGAGGACCGCGCUCGGCUAGGACAUUGCGUAGCCAAGCGG
rnacentral:rRNA from 1 species